AUCUCACUAGAAUUCACAAUAUUCCAAAUUUCAGGAUUUGACUUGAGAUAUGCCAAUACUACUCUGGUUCUAGGAGUUUUCUCUGGACAUGUAUACAGUGCAUUCAGAAUAAUUGGGGUUUUUACAGCAAUUACACACACACUGCUAGCACACAGUUAUGCAAAACGGUAACAAGGGUGGGAGAAAUAUGGCUGCAGUUAGAAAAAGAGGUAAAUUAACUCUAUUUAAAAGGACCACACAUGGGGCGUUUGAAUUGGAGUAAGCCAGUAAACGUGGAAUAUUCGUUAGCCAUGUAAACAGUUCAUCAUGUAGAGCUCAUAGUCUAAUGAUUAAAUAAUGCUCCUCAAUGCAACCUCAAUUUGUGUCGAGACCAUUUUCUUGACUUUCCACAGGGCCAUCUCCACAGUGUACUGCAUUUGAUAUGUCCAGCUCACUUAAUUAUUUUGCAAUUAAAGCCUUAAAACUAGCCGUUCUUUUACAGUGCUAGAUCAUAUCACACGCACAGGGCCCUGGGAGCAUAGCUGAUCUCCUGCUCAUGUUAACACUAAUCAAAUCAUCACAGUGUGUCUGAUAAGUGCCACAACACAAGCCGAAACUGCUGAGUGAGUGACAUAGUAUAGUGUUUGGCUAGCUUGGUUCUUUGAGGCAGAGGAGGCAGUUUCAAACGAAUGAAACUGAUUACUUUUCGGGAAUUACAUAUAGUAAAAUGACAACACCAUUAGUCAAAUAAUGCAUUGUGGGUAAAGUGUGAUUCUGUGCAGCCAAGCGACGUUCUUAACGGUCCCGCGCUAACGAGAUGCGUCUUUAUGACGGCACAACAGCGCUGAGUCACACUCUGCUGGCGGCCAUCUUCCAUCGUUUUUCUCUCUAAUCUCCGCAUUAAAUGUCCAUUUGAUUGAACACCGCCCUACUCUCUGAUUGGUCGAAUGUCCUGCCAAUCUCUUGACGCCUUUCUCAGUCUUUUUUCUGAUUGGUCCAGAGCGCCAGCCCGUCAAAACGAUGUCACGCAGGUCAUCUCGUCCGCUAACUCGUCCUCCUCGCGGCCCGUCCUGAUUGGCUCCUCGUCGCUGUAGAGCAUGGCGGGGUCGGCGGCGGCGUUAGCGAGGAGAGACGGGUUUCCCGAGCCGAGCAGAUCGCUGGCGGCCGACUCCAUUUCAUCCACCGUCAUGUGACACGCGUCGGCGAUCUCCCGCUUCGCAAACGCGACAAACUUCGGAUCCCGAGCGUAGAGGCCGAGACCCUCGGAGAUCAGAACCUGCAGAGAGCAGAACAAAGACUCAGUGACGGAAGUUUGAUUUUACUCAUCAAUAUGUACUAUUUGAAACUACUCUGGACCCGCACUUGCUCUAAGAUGUAUUCAUAAUUAUCUUCACUUAUAUCUGUAUUUGUGUACUCCAGUGGAUGGAAGUACAUUUAUUCAAGUAUUAAGUACUUUUUCGACAUAUUAGAUUUUUCCCCCUUUAAUCUACUUCUACAUUUCAGAGGCUGGUAUUGUGCUUUUACUCCACUUUAACGUUCACAUUUAGUAGUUACUUUUUUACAUAUAAAAACAUAUUAUAUGCUGAUAUGGUAUAAUGCAGUACUGUACUACUGAUCUACACUAGCAUUUAUGUACUUUAAGGCCAUAGUGCUUGUACUUUUACUUAAGUAAAGGAUCUGAAUACUUCUUCCAACACUGAUGAACACUCAUCUACUGUUACCAUUCCUGUCCUGUGUUUCACUCUUAUUGCUGCUCUGAUCUAAAUGUGCCUGUGGGGAUUAAUAACGGUCUAUUUGAGCUAAUAUUAUGUUCAUAGCAUCGUUUCCUCACCGCCUCCACCAGACUGUCGGCCGAUCCUCGUUUCUCAGUGAGUUGAGCGCCGAGCUGUGAGGGAACUCUGAGGGUGGUGUACGCUCUGUACGGAGGAGGAGCUGCAACGACAUGUCAAACGUCCAAAAACACCGUAAAGAGACAUACUCAGGAUUGGCCACCGUACCAGGCCGGUCUGGGUGUUGCACCUGUGAUGUUGACACCUGAUAAAGGAAAGGAAAACAGUGAACAAAUACAUUUAAGGAUGAGAGGAGCGUAGAGGAGGCGACCGCGGCGAGGACACGGGUUAGCCCAGGACGCUGAGGAUGCCGCCGAUGAGCGACCGGAGGAUUGACGGGACUCGUAAUUGUUGACGGUGUGCUGAGGAAGAAGUGAAGGAGAUGAGGGUUACACCAGAUUCUUUUGCCCCAUGGUCACAAAAGUAAAUACUUUAUACCCAUUUUUAACAGGCCACAUUUCCUCCACCACUGUGAGAAACUGAACUUUAUUAAAGACCAAGUUUCUGAUUUGUCAGUCUCAGAAACACACUCUUGAUCUUUAAACAUAAUGUGUUACAGUGAGUCAAACUGCUGUAAAAUUUGAAGCUAACAUCCACUCACAUUUGGAAAUGACUGGCUCAAAAGUGUUCAUAAAGCUCAACAUGUUUGCUAUCUGUGUAGAUAUCUAAUGAUGGUAAAGAAAUGUAUAAAUAUGAGACCACGCCCAUUUAGGAGACAGGAAGUGGAUACCCUUUCAUACCAAUGUUGCAGAUUUUAUUAUUCUAUUUUAUAGAAUAUGUUUGGUUACACGUGUGUGUGUGUGUGUGUGUGUUAUACCUGUCCACGUGCACGGCGUGGUGGUGAGGUGGGGUGGUAGGUGCCGGGGAUCGGCAGGUCGUCACUACUGCCCUGCCUCCUCAGACACUGGAUGUUAAAUGACGGCUUCCGACCUGACAGACAACAAACAAACAAAUAAACAAACAAACAA